CUGCUCUGGAGCAGGACAGGGAGGACAAUAUUGUAAGAUAGGAAAUGAGUGGAGCAGAAGCUCAUCCAUGGAAAAUUUUUGAAUAUCUUCCAAAUCUACAAAUCUUCCAAGUCUUGAAGAGACUCAAGAUAAUAUAGGACAAUCCUAGAAUUUGCAUGAUUGGGAAAAUAAUGGGUUUUAAGAUGAGACUAGUCUAAACUAAAAUAUUUCCAAAACAAACAAAAACAUAUGUUUCCAUGAGCCACACCAGAGAGUAAAACAAAUUAUUUUUUUUUACUCUUUAUAGGAAAUUGCAUUACAAACUUACUUGUGUGGAAGAGAUCAUCGGAGCAAGCAUUGAAGAAGGCAGACAAUAUGGGGAAGCAGGAAUAUUAUGGGAAGCCAUCCCUUUGCCCGUUCCAGCUGAGGUUGACUGUCACCUCCAAACUCACAGUGCAGUGGGUGUGUGGGCUCAUGGUGACCCUCUUCUGUGUCAUGCGGACCCAUCAAGAUGUUUGUAUCUGGAUCUAUUGGACAUCCAAUGAAUAGGACUGGGAGGCAAAGGAAGGAGCAGGUCUAUCUCCCCGUGGUUGUGGCCGUGUCUGGAACUGCUGGUCCUCAUGGCGAAUACAUGAAGGGAGGACAGGAUCAUGCCCAGCUUGUGUGCCAAUGCAGGGCAAGUCCCCCUUCAUCCACCCCACUGGCUGUCACCCUUACUAUUUUCACACAGGUCUGCUUGGAUGGAGAAAGCCACAGCUGGUGAGCCUUGGUUGGCUGAGCCAUGUUGAAGAUUUUGAUUCUGUUUGUACAUAAAAAUGAAGUUUGA